rnacentral:rRNA from 1 species
GUGGGGAAUAUUGGACAAUGGGCGAAAGCCUGAUCCAGCCAUGCCGCGUGUGUGAAGAAGGUCUUCGGAUUGUAAAGCACUUUAAGUUGGGAGGAAGGGCAGUAAGUUAAUACCUUGCUGUUUUGACGUUACCGACAGAAUAAGCACCGGCUAACUUCGUGCCAGCAGCCGCGGUAAUACGAAGGGUGCAAGCGUUAAUCGGAAUUACUGGGCGUAAAGCGCGCGUAGGUGGUUUUGUAAGUUGGAGGUGAAAUCCCCGAGCUCAACCUGGGAACUGAAUCCAAAACUGCAUGACUAGAGUACGGUAGAGGGUAGUGGAAUUUCCUGUGUAACGGUGAAAUGCGUAGAUAUAGGAAGGAACACCAGUGGCGAAGGCGACUACCUGGACUGAUACUGACACUGAGGUGCGAAAGCGUGGGGAGCAAACAGGAUUAGAAACCCGAGUAGUCC